rnacentral:rRNA from 1 species
UGGGGAAUAUUGCGCAAUGGGGGGAACCCUGACGCAGCCAUGCCGCGUGAAUGAAGAAGGCCUUCGGGUUGUAAAGUUCUUUCGGUAUUGAGGAAGGUUGAUGUGUUAAUAGCACAUCAAAUUGACGUUAAAUACAGAAGAAGCACCGGCUAACUCCGUGCCAGCAGCCGCGGUAAUACGGAGGGUGCGAGCGUUAAUCGGAAUAACUGGGCGUAAAGGGCACGCAGGCGGUUAUCUAAGUGAGGUGUGAAAGCCCUGGGCUUAACCUAGGAAUUGCAUUUCAGACUGGGUAACUAGAGUACUUUAGGGAGGGGUAGAAUUCCACGUGUAGCGGUGAAAUGCGUAGAGAUGUGGAGGAAUACCGAAGGCGAAGGCAGCCCCUUGGGAAUGUACUGACGCUCAUGUGCGAAAGCGUGGGGAGCAAACAGGAUUAGAUACCCUGGUAGUCCACGCUGUAAACGCUGUCGAUUUGGGGGUUGGGGUUUAACUCUGGCGCCCGUAGCUAACGUGAUAAAUCGACCGCCUGGGGAGUACGGCCGCAAGGUUA